GAUUGCCUCAGUAACGGCGAGUGAAGCGGCAAAAGCUCAAAUUUUAAAGCUGGCACCUUCGGUGUCCGCGUUGUAAUUUUGUGAGGCAUCUCCGGGUAGGGCGCCGGCCUAAGUUCCUUGGAACAGGACGUCAUAGAGGGUGAGAAUCCCGUGCUUGGCUGGCUGUCCCCGUCCAUGUGAGGUGUCUUCGACGAGUCGAGUUGUUUGGGAAUGCAGCUCAAAAUGGGUGGUAAAUUUCAUCUAAAGCUAAAUAUUGGUGGGAGACCGAUAGCGCACAAGUAGAGUGAUCGAAAGAUGAAAAGCACUUUGAAAAUAGAGUUAAAAAGUACGUGAAAUUGUUGAAAGGGAAGCGCUUGAGACCAGACUUCGGUGGGGAGUGAUCAGCUGUUCUUCUGGGCGGUGCACUUGCUCCCCUCCGGGCCAGCAUCGGUUGGGACGGCGGGAUAAAGGUCCCGGGAAUGUGGCUCCUCUCGGGGAGUGUUAUAGCCCGGGUGAAUGCCGCCAGCCCCGACCGAGGACCGCGCCUUCGGGCUAGGAUG
rnacentral:rRNA from 1 species